rnacentral:rRNA from 1 species
AUUGAACGCUGGCGGCAUGCCUUACACAUGCAAGUCGAACGGUAACAGGUCUUCGGAUGCUGACGAGUGGCGCACGGGUGAGUAAUACAUCGGAACGUGCCUAGUAGUGGGGGAUAACUACUCGAAAGAGUGGCUAAUACCGCAUGAGAUCUACGGAUGAAAGCAGGGGAUCGCAAGACCUUGUGCUACUAGAGCGGCCGAUGGCAGAUUAGGUAGUUGGUGGGAUAAAAGCUUACCAAGCCGACGAUCUGUAGCUGGUCUGAGAGGACGAUCAGCCACACUGGGACUGAGACACGGCCCAGACUCCUACGGGAGGCAGCAGUGGGGAAUUUUGGACAAUGGGCGCAAGCCUGAUCCAGCAAUGCCGCGUGCAGGAUGAGGGCCUUCGGGUUGUAAACUGCUUUUGUACGGAACGAAAAGCCCCGGGUUAAUACCCUGGGGUCAUGACGGUACCGUAAGAAUAAGCACCGGCUAACUACGUGCCAGCCGCCGCAGUAA